AAAUUUUAAUUUUGGAUAAAAUUAAACAUUAAUUUUUAAAACAUGGAAUAUUAAGCAAGUCAAUAAAAACCCAGUUUUUACAAUUUUUAAUUUUUUAUAAAAUAAAAAGAAAAGAAUUUUACUGACAAAUUAAGUGCCAGCAGUCGCGGUCACACUUAAAGAAAUUUUAAUAAAUCGGGAGAUGUAGUCAUUUUUAAAGAAUUUAAAUUAAAGCAAUAUAUAAAUUAGGUUAAAUUUUUAUGUGUAUAAAAUAUUUUUAAAAUUAAGAAACUACAAAAACUUAAUUAAAAAAAGGAUUCGAUACCCUUGUAUAAAGUAAAAGAAUUUUCCCAGAGUUAAAACAGAAAUCUGUAAACUCAAAAAAUAUGGCAGUAUAAAUAAAUUUUAGGGAUGCUUGAUUUUUUAAAUUUUGAAAACACCCGUUUACCUUACUCAAUUUUUAGUAUAAUUCUAUAUCCCCGUUUUAAGGCAAUGACAGAAAUUAGAUCAACCAAAAUAUUCAAAUAAUAAAAAUUCAGGCCUAGACAGAGUAAUUUGAGAAAAAUUGAGCAUCAUUAAAAAAUUUUAAAUAAUAAAUUCUUAAAAUAAAAUUAUAUAAAGAACUUAAAAGUAAUUUUUUUAAAAAAGAAAAAAUGAAUUUUUUUAUUUAU
rnacentral:rRNA from 1 species